rnacentral:piRNA from 1 species
UAGACAGGUUUUUGAAUAUCUAUAAUGGC